AUGAACGCUGGCGGCGUGCCUAAUCCAUGCAAGUCGAGCGAACAGACGAGGAGCUUGCUCCCCUGACGUUAGCGGCGGACGGGUGAGUAACACGUGGAUAACCUACCUAUAAGACUGGGAUAACUUCGGGAAACCGGAGCUAAUACCGGAUAAUAUAUUGAACCGCAUGGUUCAAUAGUGAAAGACGGUUUUGCUGUCACUUAUAGAUGGAUCCGCGCCGCAUUAGCUAGUUGGUAAGGUAACGGCUUACCAAGGCAACGAUGCGUAGCCGACCUGAGAGGGUGAUCGGCCACACUGGAACUGAGACACGGUCCAGACUCCUACGGGAGGCAGCAGUAGGGAAUCUUCCGCAAUGGGCGAAAGCCUGACGGAGCAACGCCGCGUGAGUGAUGAAGGUCUUCGGAUCGUAAAACUCUGUUAUUAGGGAAGAACAAAUGUGUAAGUAACUAUGCACGUCUUGACGGUACCUAAUCAGAAAGCUACGGCUAACUACGUG
rnacentral:rRNA from 1 species